GGAACGAAGAGAUGCUCCCCUGAUUUGGAGCUGUAGAAAGGAAGUGGUUGCAGACACAAAGUGGGGACACACAACUCCCAGUCAUAAUAUUCUUUAUCUUGGCUCGUUGUUUGGGGAUGGACGCAUCAAUCUGAUGGCGCUCUUCUCCAUGCCAAACGGAUCCUUGGUUCGGAGGCGCGCGGCGCCGACGAUGACAGCCUUUCUAUCGACGCAAGGGCAGCAGGAGCUCAUGACGCUGUUGAUGCCACCACCAUGCAUGGGGUUGAUGCAAGGUGGGACAAUGUGAUCACUAAUGGGGAGAACAUAAAACUUCAAUUGAGGGCACUGUGAUUCUCUAGCUACAUGUAUCAUGGUCACCAACCACACAUGUCCAAAAGAGAUCCUUAUUUCACCUUUGUUUAUAGGUAUUCAACGUGAGGAAUUUUAUACUUUUGGAGUGGAGCUAUCAAAUAUAUAUUAUGAGUUUCUAAAACAUCUAUUAUAAGGAAUUGAACAGAGCUUCCUCUGCCCCGACAGAUUCUGAGAAAACCAACCAGCAGAGAACAUGAACAAAUAUAGUGACGAGAAAGGGUGGAGCUGAGUACACCACACAUGGAUAUGAUGGUCUACCCUAUGUUCUUUUUGGCAAUCCACUUAAUCACUGACUCAACUUUGUAUGGGGCGCUUCCGAUGCACAAAUGGUGGCGGUGAAGCAGCAGGCCCGAGAGAGCGUGCAGGGGAGGAAGGAGUUCCUGGUGGAGGUGCUGAUACUGGCGGUGCUCAGCCACCCUAACUUCGUCAGCCUGAUCGGCUUCUGCGCGCAGGGGACAAGCGGCUGCUGUUGUACGAGUACAUGCCCUUCGGCAGCCUGGCGAGUCAUCUCUUUGCGGUUCCAUUAUAUAUAUUCACUUUGAAGGCAAAAAUUAUAUGUUGGCUGGUUGCCCGAGAAAUCAAAAAGGCUAAAUCUUGAGUUGUAUGGAGCAUGGUCAUUUGCUUGAAGUUUCCAAUGGACUGUAUAUACCAUUGAAUGAGAGGAAUUAUUCCAUGAGUGUGGACAAAUUGAGCUGAUCGAUUGAUUGAGAAAAUAUUGUGUGGAUGUUCUCAGAUCUCCUUGCUCCACUACUCCUUGGAUUAUUACCUUUGUCCAUAUAUUUUGGUUUAUCUGAG